rnacentral:rRNA from 1 species
GUCAGCGGCUAUAGCACGUUGAAUGCACCAGUUCCCGAGGGAUCACCAAAGUUAACCAAUAUUUCGCGAGGUUUGUAUUCGGAUGGGUGACCAUUGAACCCCUAUCGAACAGAAA